rnacentral:rRNA from 1 species
AUACGGAGGGUGCAAGCGUUAUUCGGAAUCACUGGGCGUAAAGGACGCGUAGGCGGGUUGGCAAGUCAGAUGUGAAAUCCUACAGCUUAACUGUAGAACUGCAUUUGAAACUGCUAACCAAGAGUAUGGGAGGGGGAGAUGGAAUUAGUGGUGUAGGGGUAAAAUCCGUAGAUAUCACUAGGAAUACCGAAAGCGAAGGCGAUCUCCUGGAACAUAACUGACGCUAAGGCGUGAAAGCGGGGGGAGCAAACAGGAUUAGAAACCCUAGUAGUCC